rnacentral:rRNA from 1 species
GACGAACGCUGGCGGCGUGCUUAACACAUGCAAGUCGAACGAUGACGACCGAGCUUGCUCGGUCUGAUUAGUGGCGAACGGGUGAGUAACACGUGAGCAACCUGCCCUUCACUCUGGGAUAACCUCGGGAAAUCGGGGCUAAUACCGGAUAUGAGCUCCUGUCGCAUGGCGGGUGUUGGAAAGUUUUUCGGUGAGGGAUGGGCUCGCGGCCUAUCAGUUUGUUGGUGAGGUAGUGGCUCACCAAGGCGAUGAGGGGUAGCCGGCCUGAGAGGGCGAACGGCCACACUGGGACUGAGACACGGCCCAGACUCCUACGGGAGGCAGCAGUGGGGAAUAUUGCACAAUGGGCGAAAGCCUGAUGCAGCGACGCCGCGUGAGGGAUGACGGCCUUCGGGUUGUAAACCCCUUUCAGCAGGGAAGAAGCGAAAGUGGCGGUACCUGCAGAAGAAGCGCCGGCUAACUACGUG